CCUACGGGUGGCAGCAGUGAGGAAUAUUGGUCAAUGGACGAGAGUCUGAACCAGCCAAGUAGCGUGAAGGAUGACUGCCCUAUGGGUUGUAAACUUCUUUUAUAUGGGAAUAAAACGUUCCACGUGUGGGAUUUUGUAUGUACCAUAUGAAUAAGGAUCGGCUCACUCCGUGCCAGCUGCCGCGGUAAUACGGAGGGUCCGAGCGUUAUCCGGAUUUAUUGGGUUUAAGGGGAGCGUAGGUGGAUUGUUAAGUCAGUUGUGAAAGUUUGCGGCUCAACCGUAAAAUUGCAGUUGAUACUGGCAGUCUUGAGUACAGUAGAGGUGGGAGGAAUGCGUGGUGUAGCGGUGAAAUGCUUAGAUAUCACGAAGAACUCCGAUUGCGAAGGCAGUUCACUGGACUGCAACUGACACUGAGGCUCGAAAGUGUGGGUAUCAAACAGGAUUUGAUACCCCUGUAGUC
rnacentral:rRNA from 1 species